rnacentral:rRNA from 1 species
UACGUAGGGUGCGAGCGUUAAUCGGAAUUACUGGGCGUAAAGUGUGCGCGGGCGGCCGCGCAAGUCGAGUGUGAAAUCCCCGAGCUUAACUUGGGAAUUGCGCUCGAAACUACGUGGCUGGAGUGUGGCAGAGGAAGGUGGAAUUCCACGUGUAGCGGUGAAAUGCGUAGAUAUGUGGAGGAACACCGAUGGCGAAGGCAGCCUUCUGGGCCAACACUGACGCUCAUGCACGAAAGCGUGGGGAGCAAACAGG